rnacentral:rRNA from 2 species
CCUGACGGAGCAACGCCGCGUGAGGGAUGAAGGCCUCUGGGCUGUAAACCUCUUUUCUCAAGGAAGAAGAUCUGACGGUACUUGAGGAAUAAGCCACGGCUAAUUCCGUGCCAGCAGCCGCGGUAAUACGGGAGUGGCGAGCGUUAUCCGGAAUUAUUGGGCGUAAAGCGUCCGCAGGCGGCCUUUCAAGUCUGCUGUUAAAGCGUGGAGCUUAACUCCAUCAUGGCAGUGGAAACUGUUUGGCUUGAGUGUGGUAGGGGCAGAGGGAAUUCCCGGUGUAGCGGUGAAAUGCGUAGAUAUCGGGAAGAACACCAGUGGCGAAGGCGCUCUGCUGGGCCAUAACUGACGC